rnacentral:rRNA from 1 species
AGUGAACGCUGGCGGUAGGCCUAACACAUGCGAGUCGAACGGCAGCACAGUAAGAGCUUGCUCUUACGGGUGGCGAGUGGCGGACGGGUGAGGAAUACAUCGGAAUCUACUUUUUCGUGGGGGAUAACGUAGGGAAACUUACGCUAAUACCGCAUACGACCUACGGGUGAAAGCAGGUGAUCUUCGGACCUUGCGCGAUUGAAUGAGCCGAUGUCGGAUUAGCUAGUUGGCGGGGUAAAGGCCCACCAAGGCGACGAUCCGUAGCUGGUCUGAGAGGAUGAUCAGCCACACUGGAACUGAGACACGGUCCAGACUCCUACGGGAGGCAGCAGUGGGGAAUAUUGGACAAUGGGCGCAAGCCUGAUCCAGCCAUACCGCGUGGGUGAAGAAGGCCUUCGGGUUGUAAAGCCCUUUUGUUGGGAAAGAAAAGCAGCAGGUUAAUACCCCGCUGUUCUGACGGUACCCAAAGAAUAAGCACCGGCUAACUUCGUG